CCUCCAAUUAGCUAGAAAACGCUAGAUAAAUUGGGUCUCAAAUCAGCCCAGUCGCCCACCGUUCGGCGGCUACCUCGCCGCACUCCAAUGCCCAGGACGCCGCCCCUUCAGCGGCCAGCGCGGCCGCCACCUGCACCCCCCCCCCCCCCCCCCCCCCCCCCCCCCCCCCCCCCCCCCCCCCCCCCCCCCCCCCCCCCCCCCCCCCCCCCCCCCCCCCCCCCUCCCACCCCCACCUCAACUCCCGUACGAUCUGCCGUUUCCUCGAUCUGCCUCGGCGCCGCUUCAUCGAUCUGCCUCGGUGCCGUUUGGAUCGUUGCGGCGACGGCUUCGUCGGUCUUCAGCUCCGGCACCUGCAUCCUGAAGGAGUGCGAUCUCGUGGCUGGUUUCAUCGGUUCUGGGAACCAAAUUGCCGAGGGGACUUCCACAACUUGUAUUGCUUGAUUUCCCUAUCCGAGACUACAAUCUUGUCCUAGGAUGGCGACGGACAUGUUGACCAUAUACCUGCACUAUGAAGUUACAAAUCAGGAAGCCAAAAUGUUACAAAGAUCCAUGAUGAGGCGUGAUGUCUUGUAUUAUGACUUAAUCUUGAUGAUCGAGGAAGUUGGCUUUCAGGCAAUUGACUUUCUGUACUAUGCGAAAAAACCCUGUCUAGGCAGCUCCUACUUAGUUCACAUUUAUGAUCAAGGUCUUGUGUUGAAAAUGUUGUCCGACCCUGAGAUUGUGAAAGCUGUCCAUCUGUAUGUGUCUAAGGAGAAGGUUGACGAUCAUAUUGCUCCGCCUAGUAAGCAAAUUCAUAUUGCUCCAUCUAACCAUCCGAAUGAGAGUGUUCUCUUACAACACGGUGGUGUCUCUGCUGAAGGGGCAGGGCAACUUACUAUGAGAAUGCCGCAAAGACCAUGAUGUCAACCAAUUACAAAUUCAACAGAAUUCAUCAUCAUCACAAGACCAUGUUAUUGAUUCUGUGCCAGAGGUGAGGGAAACCAGGGAUCUUACAGGUGAAUCUGUUUCAAGAACGAACCAGCAGGGGACUAGAACUGAACACCCACACCCAGCUCGCUCAAAAAGAAAGCGUACUUCUUCCAUCAAGGUAAAGAUUCACCAAGGAGCAUGGUUUACUGCACCCAAAUUCCCAACCCAAACCACAUUAUCAUGUCUGCUUGAAAAAUGGAUUUUGUUACAAUUUUUGCUCAAUCUACUGUAUGCAAGUAUAGGAUAAAUUUAACCAAGCAUGAGCAAGCGAGGUGAUCUUGGGCAUUAGACUUCAUUGCCGGGUCCAGUUUAUUUAAUUUUCUAGGGCACCUUACUGGGCUGACAUUAAAAAUAUCUCAUAUUGUUCAUGCAAAUUAUAUUAUCAUGUCGUUGAAUGCUAAUAUUGAUCAUAAUAUAGGCUGCUUCCAAAGUAGUUUUAAAGACUUCAACAUAUCCCAACAAGCGGAAUGUUGCGUAUGGUACUAUUCGGAGUACUAAUCCAAGAACUAAGGUUGGUGGUAUUGAGUUAGGUGCUGAAUUUGCCCUUGUGCGCAUAGAUCAACCUAUUCUUGAUAAUGAGGAGCUGGCAAGGGAAGUUUCUAAUUGCAAGACAAUUGGUGAGGCUUUCAAUUCAGGAUACUUAAUUGCCUGGCCUUCAGCUUUUAUUCGAGAGAAGGAUAGUUGAAUUGCAGCUGAAUUCUUGGAUCAAGAAGCAAAUAAAAUUGGAAGAUUUUAGCUACCAAUAGUUGUAGUUUACAUUGAUAGAUUUAUAAAUGUAAUAUCAUCAACAUGAUAUUUUUCUUCAUCGAAUUGAUGCAAAUGUAAUAUUCUCCAUAGUUGUGUUUUCUAUGCUCAAAAUGAUAUGACUGAUAUCUUUAUUGUAAUGCAUAUGUAUCAUACACUUGUAUAUUCAUAAUAAAUAUCUUCAUAUGAGUUUCUAUA